CCAAUAUUCUGCCUGGAAAUUGCAGAUCAUCAAGCUCGUUAGCCAACGUCUAUUGAGUACCUGCUGUGUGCCUGGCUUUUAUAAGCUCUGGCUAUUCAUAGAUGGAUAAACUCACCAUGAUGCCAACCGUCAUGAAGCUUCAUAGUCUGGCCUUCUCCACAAAGACCCAGCUGUCCCGUGCGACUCAUAACGUGGGAGAUUGUCCUGUGCUGCUCUGCGGGCCUCUCUUCCGCGCUCCCUAGGUCACGAUUCUGGUGUGAGAGGAUGCUACCCAUCACAUACCUCGGCCUACCCCACCUG